rnacentral:tRNA from 1 species
GCUACCGUGGCUCAGUCGGUAGAGCAGCUGAUUCGUAAUCAGCAGGUCAGGGGUUCGAGCCCCCUCGGUAGCUCCA